GCGAGGGUGGCCGAGUGGUCUAAGGCGCUGCAUUCAAGAUUUAAUCUUACCUAGUUACCUGGGUUUCGCAGUAUCGGAAGAUGCAUGGGUUCGAAUCCCAUCCUUCGCA
rnacentral:tRNA from 2 species